rnacentral:rRNA from 1 species
AGCGAACGCUGGCGGCAGGCCUAACACAUGCAAGUCGAACGAACUCUUCGGAGUUAGUGGCGGACGGGUGAGUAACACGUGGGAACGUGCCUUUUGGUUCGGAAUAACUCAGGGAAACUUGUGCUAAUACCGAAUGUGCCCUUCGGGGGAAAGAUUUAUCGCCAUUAGAGCGGCCCGCGUCUGAUUAGCUAGUUGGUGAGGUAACGGCUCACCAACGCGACGAUCAGUAGCUGGUCUGAGAGGAUGACCAGCCACACUGGGACUGAGACACGGCCCAGACUCCUACGGGAGGCAGCAGUGGGGAAUCUUGCGCAAUGGGCGAAAGCCUGACGCAGCCAUGCCGCGUGAAUGAUGAAGGUCUUAGGAUUGUAAAAUUCUUUCACCGGGGACGAUAAUGACGGUACCCGGAGAAGAAGCCCCGGCUAACUUCGUG